rnacentral:rRNA from 1 species
UACGGAGGAUCCGAGCGUUAUCCGGAUUUAUUGGGUUUAAAGGGUACGUAGGCGGGGCGUAUAAGUCAGCGGUGAAAUUUUGCAGCUUAACUGCAAGCUUGCCGUUGAAACUAUCGUUCUUGAGUGUAGAUGAGGUAGGCGGAAUGUGUUGUGUAGCGGUGAAAUGCAUAGAUAUAACACAGAACCCCGAUUGCGAAGGCAGCUUACCGGGUUAUCACUGACGCUGAGGUACGACAGCGUGGGGAUCAAACAGGAUUAGAUACCCUGGUAGUCCACGCCGUAAACGAUGAAUACUCGCUGUUUGCGAUAUACUGCAAGCGGCCAAGCGAAAGCAUUAAGUAUUCCACCUGGGGAGUACGUUCGCAAGAAUGAAACUCAAAGGAAUUGACGGGGGCCCGCACAAGCGGAGGAACAUGUGGUUUAAUUCGAUGAUACGCGAGGAACCUUACCCGGGUUUGAAAUGCAAUCGACCGAUUAUGAAAGUAGUUUUCCAGCAAUGGCGAUUGUGUAGGUGCUGCAUGGUU